UGGACAUAUUAUUGUAUUUGAUUGUAUUUGACCGUAUUCACAACAUGAAAUAGGGGAUUACACUAUUUUUAAACGGAAAGUGAAUCAAUUAACAUAAUAUACUCCU
rnacentral:pre_miRNA from 1 species